UACGUAGGUGGCAAGCGUUGUCCGGAAUUAUUGGGCGUAAAGCGCGCGCAGGUGGUUCUUUUAAGUCUGAUGUGAAAUCUCGCGGCUCAACCGCGAGCGGUCAUUGGAAACUGGGGAACUUGAGUGCAGAAGAGGAAAGUGGAAUUCCACGUGUAGCGGUGAAAUGCGUAGAGAUGUGGAGGAACACCAGUGGCGAAGGCGACUUUCUGGUCUGUAACUGACACUGAGGCGCGAAAGCGUGGGGAGCGAACAGG
rnacentral:rRNA from 1 species